UUUUCACAAAAAAUAAUUUGUCAAAAAUAUUUAAAUUAAUUACAGAUGGACUAUUUUUCCAUCUAAAAUUAUAAUAUUCCCAUAGAUUUUUCCUUGUUCGUUGGAAAAUUAAAUUUUCCCCAAACAAAAAAAACCCAACCCUAGCCCUCCUCAGUCAGCUAGCGCCGCUGCCGCUGCCGCUGCCAUUUUCGCCCUCACCUUGUCCAUUGUGCUCACACUCACUCAAGGUCAGGAUUUGCUCAACUCCCUCUGUCUCUCUCAUAUCUUCCAACCCUACCAUUCUCUUCUCUCCCAAAUUCCCAUCUUCUUUUUCUUCCCUCUCCUCCUUUCCCAAUUCUUCUAAUUCUCUUUUACAAACCCUUACGCGCUUCCCCCUCUGUUUCUCUCAAUUGCUCCUCUUGUUCUCUCUCUGGCUUCCUUGUCAGGGCUUCGGUAAGUUUCCGCUCUCCUUCUCCAUCUGGAUUCUUGUUUUUCUUUUACAAAGAGAAGUUUCUGCCAAGUUUAUAUGUUUAACGAAAUUGUUGUAUUAAGCAAAUACAACAGUAUUUUUAUUUCUUUUUUCAGAGACACCUUCUCUUGAUAGAAGUAAGUUCACGUGUCCAAUUUGGGUUUUGGCUAGUGCCCAAU
rnacentral:lncRNA from 1 species